rnacentral:rRNA from 1 species
GCCUAAGGCGAGGCAGAAAUGCGUAGUCGAUGGACAGCAGGUUGAGAUUCCUGCACCCGUAAUGAACAGAACUGUAGUGACACGGAAGGUAAGACAGAGCCGGGAAUGAGAAAGCCGGUGCAAGCACAAUAGAUGUGUGGGAGGAAAAUCCCCCGCAUAAGUCGAAGGUGUGACGCGGACCGAAAAAGAGUAGGGAAGCUGUUAAGCAAGCCGUCAAGAAAAGCUGCUAUUGUUUCAUUAUGGCCCGUACCGUAAACCGACACAGGUGGAUGGGGAGAGAAUCCUAAGGCCGGCGGAAGAAGUAUUGUUAAGGAACUCGGCAAAAUGACCCCGUAACUUCGGGAGAAGGGGUGCCUGCGAAAGCAGGCCGCAGAGAAGAGGCCCAAGCAACUGUUUAGCAAAAACACAGGUCUAUGCAAAACCGAAAGGUGAGGUAUAUGGGCUGACGCCUGCCCGGUGCUGGAAGGUUAAGGGGAGUGGUCAGGAAACGAAGCCACGAACUUAAGCCCCAGUAAACGGCGGCCGUAACAAUAACGGUCCUAAGGUAGCGAAAUUCCUUGUCGGGUAAGUUCCGACCCGCACGAAAGGCGUAAUGAUUUGGGCGCUGUCUCGACAAUACAUCCGGUGAAAUUGAAGUGCCAGUGGAGAUGCUGGCUACCUGCGCCAGGACGGAAAGACCCCAUGGAGCUCUACUCCAGCUUGAUACUGGGACCCGGUAUUGCAUGUACAGGAUAGGUGGGAGGCUAGGAAAUGUGGACGCCAGUCUGCAUGGAGCCGCUGUUGGGAUACCACCCUUGUGGUGCUGGGUUUCUAACCAGAGGCCGUGAACCGGUCUGGGGACAAUGUCAGGUGGGGAGUUUGACUGGGGCGGCCGCCUCCGAAAGGGUAUCGGAGGCGCCCAAAGGUUCCCUCAGAAUGGUUGGAAACCAUUCGAAGAGUGCAAAGGCAGAAGGGCUUGACUGCGACACCGACGGGUGGAGCAGGUACGAAAGUAGGGCUUAGUGAUCCGGUGGAAUUUAAGUGGGAAUGCCAUCGCUCAACGGAUAAAAGCUACCCUGGGAUAACAGGCUGAUCACUCCCAAGAGUUCACAUCGACGGAGUGGUUUGGCACCUCGAUGUCGGCUCAUCGCAUCCUGGGGCUGAAGUCGGUCCCAAGGGUUGGGCUGUUCGCCCAUUAAAGCGGUACGCGAGCUGGGUUCAGAACGUCGUGAGACAGUUCGGUCCCUAUCCGGCGUGGGCGUAGGAUAUCUGAGAGGAGCUGUCCUUAGUACGAGAGGACCGGGAUGGACUGACCUCUGGUGUACCGGUUGGCGAUCAACGCCACGGCCGGGUAGCCAUGUCGGGACGGGAUAAACGCUGAAGGCAUCUAAGCGUGAAGCCCCCCUCAAGAUGAGAUAUCCCAUCGUAAGAGUAAGACCCCUUGAAGACGACGAGGUUGAUGGGGCAGGGGUGGAAGUGCUGUAAGGCAUGGAGCUGGCUGCUACUAAUCGGUCGAGGGCUUGUC